UACGUAGGUGGCAAGCGUUGUCCGGAUUUAUUGGGUUUAAAGGGUGCGUAGGCGGUGACUUAAGUCAGUUGUGAAAUACGGCAGCUUAACUGUCGAGGUGCAAUUGAUACUGGGACACUUGAGUACAUGAUGAGGUAGGCGGAAUGACGGUGUAGCGGUGAAAUGCAUAGAUAUCGUCAAGAACACCGAUAGCGAAGGCAGCUUACUAGGAUAACUGACGCUGAGCGACGAAAGUG
rnacentral:rRNA from 1 species